UGCCAGCAGUAGCGGUUAAACGAGUAAACCCUAGACUUGACCUUCGGUAUAAAAGAUGGUUACAUUUUUAUUUGGGAAACAAAAGAUAUUUUUACAGUGAAAUGAUUAAAUUAUCUUCUACUACUUUCCCUAGCUAUAGAAACCAUGAAACUUUUAAGGAAAACUGGGAUUAGAGACCCCACUAUUCAAAAGCUUAAACAAAUAGCUACCAGGGUAUUACGAACUAUGUUUAAAACCCAAAGAACCUGGCGGCCUUUAACAGUACUAGGGGAACCUGUGUGGUAAUCGAUACUCCACGUUAAUCUUCACCUUUUCUUGAAAUUCUCAGCCUGUAUACCUCCGUCAUAACUCACCUUUAAGAGUUUACUAGUGAGUAAAAAGUGCUUCACCACUGUAUGGCAGGUCAAGGUGCAGCCUAUGAAAAGGGGCACCAUGGGUGACAAUUUGGUAAAAGAUAAUGAAUUUUCUUAGGAAAUUAAGAAAUGAAAAAGGACUUAGUAGUAAGGAAUUCUUUAAAAUAAAUUCCUGAAAAACUCCCUAGAAGGUGCACAAAUCGCCCGUCACUCUCAUCGAAAGACGAGAUAAGUCGUAACAAAGUA
rnacentral:rRNA from 1 species